rnacentral:lncRNA from 13 species
AGGAGAGAAACAGAGUUAUUCUGUCUACAGAGGAGAGAAACAGAGUUAUUCUGUCUACAGAGGAGAGAAACAGAGUUAUUCUGUCUACAGAGGAGAGAAACAGAGUUAUUCUACCACUGGAGGGCAGUCUCUAUCUCUCUCUCCAUCUCGCUCUCUCGUUCAAGUCAGUUUGCAGAUCAGGAACAGUAGUAGACUAUGUAGCAGAGUGUUUAAUGGUGCAGUACAUUAUGAGGUGUCUACAGUAGUAGACUAUGUAGCAGNNNNNNNNNNUCCUGAUAUAAUGUUGUGUUCUCUCCAGGAGUCUAUAGGUCCUGAUAUAAUGUUGUGUUCUCUUCAGGUUGGUCCAGGUGCCUAUAGGUCCUGAUAUAAUGUUGUGUUCUCUCCAGGUGUCUAUAGGUCCUGAUAUAAUGUUGUGUGUCCAAGUCUACAACUAUCUUUGUUCUCUCUCCACUUAUAGGAACUUAAAUACAAACGUCAUGUACUUUAUGUAUUCUCUCUCUCUCUCUCUCUCUCUCUCUCUCUCUGCCCCUCCCUCCCUUUCUCUCACUCUUUCGUUAUGUCUAACCGCACCUCCCUCUUCCUCCUUAACCAAUCACAUCUAUGUUCCUACAUCACACAGUAGAGAGAGGGAGGGUGAGAGAGAGAGAGAAAAUGAGAUCAGUGAGAAAAAGAGAGUAAGAGAGUCCUCUAUGGAUCAAAGCACAGAAACACAUUCAUACACUCAUGCAGACUGGAGGCUGUCGACAGAGGAGAGAAACAGAGUUAUUCUACCACUGGAGGCUGUCUACAGAGGAGAGAAACAGAGUUAUUCUGUCUACAGAGGAGAGAAACAGUUAUUCUGUCUACACAGGAGAGAAACAGAGUUAUUCUGUCUACAGAGGAGAGAAACAGUUAUUCUGUCUACAGAGGAGAGAAACAGAGUUAUUCUGUCUACAGAGGAGAGAAACAGAGUUAUUCUGUCUACAGAGGAGAGAAACAGAGUUAUUCUGUCUACAGAGGAGAGAAACAGAGUUAUUCUGUCUACAGAGGAGAGAAACAGAGUUAUUCUGUCUACAGAGGAGAGAAACAGAGUUAUUCUGUCUACAGAGGAGAGAAACAGAGUUAUUCUGUCUACAGAGGAGAGAAACAGAGUUAUUCUGUCUACAGAGGAGAGAAACAGAGUUAUUCUGUCUACAGAGGAGAGAAACAGAGUUAUUCUGUCUACAGAGGAGAGAAACAGAGUUAUUCUGUCUACAGAGGAGAGAAACAGAGUUAUUCUGUCUACACAGGAGAGAAACAGAGUUAUUCUGUCUACAGAGGAGAGAAACAGAGUUAUUCUGUCUACAGAGGAGAGAAACAGAGUUAUUCUGUCUACAGAGGAGAGAAACAGAGUUAUUCUGUCUACAGAGGAGAGAAACAGAGUUAUUCUACCACUGGAGGGCAGUCUCUAUCUCUCUCUCCAUCUCGCUCUCUCGUUCAAGUCAGUUUGCAGAUCAGGAACAGUAGUAGACUAUGUAGCAGAGUGUUUAAUGGUGCAGUACAUUAUGAGGUGUCUACAGUAGUAGACUAUGUAGCAGAGUGUUUAAUGGUGCAGUACAUUAUGAGGUGUCUACAGUAGUAGACUAUGUAGCAGAGUGUUUAAUGGUGCAGUACAUUAUGAGGUGUCUACAGUAGUAGACUAUGUAGCAGAGUGUUUAAUGGUGCAGUACAUUAUGAGGUGUCUACAGUAGUAGACUAUGUAGCAGAGUGUUUAAUGGUGCAGUACAUUAUGAGGUGUCUACAGUAGUAGACUAUGUAGCAGAGUGUUUAAUGGU